ensembl:lncRNA
UGCCUUGUUUAAUUCAGCUAAGUCUGUAAAAAUGUAUAGACAACACAAAAAUACACACACGUGGUCAUCUCAACAGCUUUAUAAAUACAACUUUGAUGAAUUGUAUAAUGGUACAGGACAUGCAUUAGUCUGCAGUUUACCAUUGGAGGGGAAAAAAAGAAGGAAAAGUUGUGUCGUUAAAUGAUACACAACUCUUUCAUUUACAAAUAUUUUAUGUAUGUGUUUUGCAAUUUUGCUACACUUUGUUCACAGUGUGCGCGAGUGUGUGUUAUUUUUUGCUUCAUCCAAUUAUGUGUGUGUGUGUGUGUGUGUAAUCAAAUGCUUAAAAACAAUUUAUUCAUCUGCUCCUUGCAAGUAACAGAUGUCAUGGUGUGCUGUUCACACAAACUGUCUAACAAAAAACUGCACAAAAUGAUGUUUCAAAGGCAUCAAAACAGCUCUGAGGUAAUAAAGUGUGUGAAACCAGAACUAACACACAAGUCACUAGUCGCCAUUCAUUUGUGUCAUGACUAAAAUAAACAGACACCAUUUUCUAUUUAACAGAUAUAUUAUUUUGUGAAAACAUAUAUCUAUUUAAAAGCAUUUAUAAAAUUAGAGACAAAGCCUCUGCUAUUUGAGGCUGUCGAGUCUUUAAACAAGAAGUGGUUUUAUACCCUUUAACUACUGUUAAAAAAAAUGUUCGCAGAUAUACUUUCAGUGGCAAACAAAAUCAAUGAUUGGACCUUGUGAAAAGAAUCAACAAACACAUUCUUUCUGCUUUACUCCAGAGAUCUCAAAGACCAUGGUAGGUAUGAAUCAAAAGAAUCUGUCAUUUUGUCACGACACUGUCUUGAUGUACUCUAGUUUUACAUAUGCUGUUGUAAAUGACAAAUUCAUUUUUCAGACAAGACAGUUCUCCCACAUGAGCUACAGCGCUCUCGGCCUGAGAACACAAAAAGAAACGUGAUUCAGAAAAACAGAGCCUCAAAAUGCAGCAAUGAAGUGACAAAGUAAUGCUGACAUGUCUCCUAGCUGUCAUGUUUAAAAUGUAAAACACAUUCUUUUUGUUCAAUGGUUGUAGCCAAUCAAGAUUUAAUUUUCUAGCCAUGUUUCCCUCGCUGAAGUAAAAGCACAAACAGUAUGAACAAACACCAGGGCAGACAGGAACAAUAUUUUAAGGCAUUUUUUCUUCAAACCAACUUUAUAUACAAGGUUUGUUUGUUUUUGUAAAAAUCAUUAAGGUAACCAUACUAAAAGUGCACUUAAUGAACGGAGACCAAGCUGUCUUCAUAAAGGACUGCUUUACUAUAUUUCAAUAUGCUUGAUAUUAUUAUAUUUAUUAUAUUAUUAUAACAUGUAAGAGAUGAAGGGCUUGAAAAUGUAUGAGAAAUACCCAGGAUGAACAAGUCUAAAGAGGUUUUAACUCCUUAACCACCGAGAACCCCAAGAGCAAGUACACAUUCAUUAAUGUUCAAGCCUAAUUAAAUAAUUCUGCUUUCAGCGCAACUCUCUUUUUCCAUCUAAUGUCACAGUGUCUGCAGAAAAGCGUCUCUUAAGCUAGUUCCUUAGGGAAUGGCAAUUAUUCAGACAGCCCACAUGAAAAAAUACAAAAGUAAUUUAUAGUAAAUACUAUAGUAUAUAAUUGAACCAUACUAUAGUAAAGUACUUGAAUUAAUUUGUUGUGGUAAUUCUAUAGUUUUUGUGGUAAUGUAACAACUAUAGUAAUAUAAACAAAUUACUUAACC